UACGGAGGAUCCAAGCGUUAUCCGGAAUCAUUGGGUUAAAGGGUCCGUAGGCGGUCUUAUAAGUCAGUGGUGAAAUCUCCCCGCUCAACGGGGAAACGGCCAUUGAUACUGUAGGACUUGAAUUAUUAGGAAGUAACUAGAAUAUGUAGUGUAGCGGUGAAAUGCUUAGAGAUUACAUGGAAUACCAAUUGCGAAGGCAGGUUACUACGUAAUAGGUGAUUGACGCUGAUGGACGAAGCGUGGUAGCGAACAGG
rnacentral:rRNA from 1 species